UCCGGCAUGGUCUAGUGGUUAGAAUACCUGGCUCUCACCCAGGAGGCCUGGGUUCAAUUCCCGGUGUCGGAA
rnacentral:tRNA from 1 species